GCAUGCCGAUGAUGAUUGUAAAGCAUCAGUGAAUUCUGGAUGAAUGUGCUUGUGCACGGAACAGUGUGCAGCUCUGGUGAUAUCACCUGGAUAAUACAUCUGAGGCAUGC